AUUCUGGCUCAGGAUGAACGCUGGCGGCGUGCUUAACACAUGCAAGUCGAACGGGAUCCCAGGAGCUUGCUCCUGGGUGAGAGUGGCGAACGGGUGAGUAAUGCGUGACCGACCUGCCCCAUACACCGGAAUAGCUCCUGGAAACGGGUGGUAAUGCCGGAUGCUCCAGUUGACCGCAUGGUCCUCUGGGAAAGCUUUUGCGGUAUGGGAUGGGGUCGCGUCCUAUCAGCUUGAUGGCGGGGUAACGGCCCACCAUGGCUUCGACGGGUAGCCGGCCUGAGAGGGCGACCGGCCACAUUGGGACUGAGAUACGGCCCAGACUCCUACGGGAGGCAGCAGUGGGGAAUAUUGGGCAAUGGGCGCAAGCCUGACCCAGCAACGCCGCGUGAAGGAAGAAGGCUUUCGGGUUGUAAACUUCUUUUAAGUGGGAAGAGUAGAAGACGGUACCUCUUGAAUAAGCCACGGCUAACUACGUGCCAGCAGCCGCGGUAAUACGUAGGUGGCGAGCGUUAUCCGGAAUGAUUGGGCGUAAAGGGUGCGUAGGUGGCAGAUCAAGUCUGGAGUAAAAGGUAUGGGCUCAACCCGUACUGGCUCUGGAAACUGAUCAGCUAGAGAACAGAAGAGGACGGCGGAACUCCAUGUGUAGCGGUAAAAUGCGUAGAUAUAUGGAAGAACACCGGUGGCGAAGGCGGCCGUCUGGUCUGGAUUCUGACACUGAAGCACGAAAGCGUGGGGAGCAAAUAGGAUUAGAUACCCUAGUAGUCCACGCCGUAAACGAUGAGAACUAGGUGUUGGGGGAAUAACUCAGUGCCGCAGUUAACGCAGUAAGUUCUCCGCCUGGGGAGUAUGCACGCAAGUGUGAAACUCAAAGGAAUUGACGGGGGCCCGCACAAGCGGUGGAGUAUGUGGUUUAAUUCGAAGCAACGCGAAGAACCUUACCAGGCCUUGACAUCCCUUGCAGAGGUAUAGAGAUAUAUCCGAGGUUAUCAAGGAGACAGGUGGUGCAUGGUUGUCGUCAGCUCGUGUCGUGAGAUGUUGGGUUAAGU
rnacentral:rRNA from 1 species